rnacentral:rRNA from 1 species
UACGGGGGGAGCAAGCGUUGUUCGGAUUUACUGGGCGUAAAGGGCGGGUAGGCGGCCACGGCAAGUCGACUGUGAAAUCUCCGGGCUUAAUCCGGAAAGGUCAGCCGAUACUGCGGGGCUAGAGUGCAGAAGGGGCAACUGGAAUUCUCGGUGUAGCGGUGAAAUGCGUAGAUAUCGAGAGGAACACCUGCGGCGAAGGCGGGUUGCUGGGCUGACACUGACGCUGAACUGCGAAAGCUAGGGGAGCGAACGGG